ensembl:lncRNA
GUUUUUGUGAAAUGAAGGGGAAACUUCCAGUUCUCACAUUUCAAUACCUCCUGUUAUGCUGUAAUAAAACAGAGGAAGACAUACAAGAAUGGAUGAUCAGACACUCCUAGAACUGUGGUUCCUGGAUGAGUGACAUAAAGUUGCAAGUUGAAACUGAUCAGAUGCAUCUCCAGCAAAUCAAGACAGGAUAGUGGAAAUAAAGUCGCUUGUUGUUUGAGUAAAGAAGUAAAAUUCAUGUUUGUGGUUGACAGCCUACAAAGUGACUUCAAAUAAUCCCUCCCCCCAGUCUGAGACAAACCAGUUUGCCAUGUGAUGAGCUGCACUGCUGAGUAAUUCCAAUAGCGAGAAAAAUGGAAAACUCCAGAAAAUAUCUAGCAAGAAAGGAGAGCCCUCACGACAUCAGUUCACAAGUUUCUGAAUCACACCAACAACAGCGUGACACCAUGUGGAGACAGAUGCAUCCUAACCCAGCCUCCAGAAUGGUCUAUGUCCUACACAG